rnacentral:rRNA from 1 species
UACGUAGGGUACAAGCGUUGUCCGGAAUUAUUGGGCGUAAAGAGCUCGUAGGCGGUUUGUUGCGUCGGCUGUGAAAUCCCGAGGCUCAACCUCGGGUCUGCAGUCGAUACGAGCAAACUAGAGUGUUGCAGGGGAGACUGGAAUUCCUGGUGUAGCGGUGAAAUGCGCAGAUAUCAGGAGGAACACCGGUGGCGAAGGCGGGUCUCUGGGCAACAACUGACGCUGGAGGAGCGAAAGCGUGGGGAGCGAACAGG